rnacentral:rRNA from 1 species
CAGUAGCCGCGGGAAUACGAGGGGAGCUAGCGUUAUUCGGAAUUAUUGGGCGUAAAGCGCACGUAGGCGGCUUUGUAAGUUAGAGGUGAAAGCCCAGAGCUCAACUCUGGAAUUGCCUUUAAGACUGCAUCGCUUGAAUCCAGGAGAGGUGAGUGGAAUUCCGAGUGUAGAGGUGAAAUUCGUAGAUAUUCGGAAGAACACCAGUGGCGAAGGCGGCUCACUGGACUGGUAUUGACGCUGAGGUGCGAAAGCGUGGGGAGCAAACAGGAUUAGAUACCCCGGUAGUCCCUGUCUCUUAUAA